rnacentral:lncRNA from 1 species
UCCUGUCUCAGCCUCCCAAGUGCUGGGAUUACAGGUGUGCACUACCAUGUUGCUUUAGUUUUGGCUAAAUGGCAAGGAGCAAGAUUUCACUGGGAGGAGGGAAAUCAAUGAUACGCUACGACUUCUGAAACCACUGACAAGGCCUGUUACCUCACAAAUGAGCAAGACGAUUAAGACGCGGCUGUCCAGGUGGCGGUGGAGAUCCUGCACUUACUUAUCAGAGCUUCGGGCUCUGCAGCAGCUCCAGGAAGUGUCCACGCUUUCUAAAGUACUAAAGGGAAGAGAGACGCAGCGCCAAAGGCCCCAAAACAAAACUGUGCGCGCAAGGAGCAGGGAAGAGUGUCCUUGUGCUUUGUGUUUCCUCUUUUCUUUUUCUUUCUUUACUUAUUUAUGUAUGGUGCUAGGCAUUAAACCCAAGACCUUCUGCAUGCCAGGCAGGUACUCUACCACUGAGCUACCUCCCAGCUCCCAAGAGUUUGUACUUUGCCUCAAAAGCAGUGAUCCUGUUAGGUGUGGUGGUGUGUGUCUAAUCCCAGCAGUUGGGAGGCUGAGGCAGGACGAUCCCUAUGAUUUGUACUAUUCAUGCCUCGGCUACAUAGUAAGUUUAAGGUUAGGCUGAACUACUGAGUGAGAC